rnacentral:rRNA from 1 species
UUCCGGUUGAUCCUGCCGGAGGCCAUUGCUAUCGGAGUUCGAUUUAGCCAUGCUAGUCGCACGGGUUUAGACCCGUGGCAGAUAGCUCAGUGACACGUGGCCAAACUACCCUCUGGAUCGGAACAACCUCGGGAAACUGAGGCUAAUUCCGAAUAAAGCUCUCCGCCUGGAACGGCUUGAGCUGGAAACGCUACGGCGCCAGAGGAUGUGGCUGCGGCCGAUUAGGUAGACGGUGGGGUAACGGCCCACCGUGCCGAUAAUCGGUACGGGUUGUGAGAGCAAGAGCCCGGAGACGGUAUCUGAGACAAGAUACCGGGCCCUACGGGGCGCAGCAGGCGCGAAACCUUUACACUGCACGACAGUGCGAUAGGGGGACUCCGAGUGCGAGGGCAUACAGUCCUCGCUUUUCUGUACCGUAAGGUGGUACAGGAACAAGUGCUGGGCAAGACCGGUGCCAGCCGCCGCGGUAAUACCGGCAGCACGAGUGAUGGCCGAUUUUAUUGGGCCUAAAGCGUCCGUAGCCGGCCGGACAAGUCCGUUGGGAAAUCGACGCGCUCAACGCGUCGGCGUCCAGCGGAAACUGUCUGGCUUGGGGCCGGAAGACCUGAGGGGUACGUCCGGGGUAGGAGUGAAAUCCCGUAAUCCUGGACGGACCACCGGUGGCGAAAGCGCCUCAGGAAGACGGACCCGACGGUGAGGGACGAAAGCUAGGGUCUCGAACCGGAUUAGAUACCCGGGUAGUCCUAGCCGUAAACGAUGCUCGCUAGGUGUGCCGCAGGCUACGAGCCUGCGCUGUGCCGUAGGGAAGCCGAGAAGCGAGCCGCCUGGGAAGUACGUCUGCAAGGAUGAAACUUAAAGGAAUUGGCGGGGGA